rnacentral:tRNA from 1 species
GGGGAUUUAGCUCAGUGGCAGAGCACUUGCCUAGCAAGCACAAGGUCCUGGGUUCAGUCCCCAGCUCCG